GAUGAAGAACGUAGCGAAAUGCGAUACGUAAUGUGAAUUGCAGAAUUCAGUGAAUCAUCCAAUCUUUGAACGCACAUUGCGCCUGCCAGCACUCUGGCAGGCAUGCCUGUUCGAGCGUCAUUUCAACCAUCAAGCCCUAGGCUUGCGUUGGAGCCCUGCGGCUGCCGCAGGCCCCUAAAAGCAGUGGCGGGCUCGCUAUCACACCGAGUGCAGUAGAUUACUCUUCGCUCAGGGCGUGUGGCGGGUUCCAGCCGUGAAACCCCCUACUUCUCAAGGUUGACCUCGGAUCAGGUAGGAAUACCCGCUGAACUUAAGCAUAUCAAUAAGCGGAGGA
rnacentral:misc_RNA from 1 species